rnacentral:lncRNA from 1 species
UGACUGGCUGCUGCUGUAUCAUUCAAGGCAAAAUCAUUACUUCAGUAACAUCUAUACAGUCAGUUUGGGACAUCUUCCAGAUGAGGUAGGCCCCUGCCCUGCAUCAAGCUCUUCAGCUCAGCUUUCAAAUCAAGAAGAAAAUGACUUCUCUUCAGCUGGACACCAGAAUGACAGCAGAAUUCACCUGACAUAGGAGGACACAUGAUAACACUAUUGAAAUUAGUGGCAGAACUCCACAUCUGGGAACCAUAGUUAAGUUUUAGAGAAGUGACUUCUAUGUUACUAGUCCCACCGUGACUCCCACUGGUUUUGAAUCGAGCACGUAUACUGCAAGUGAACUGAGUGAGUUAACCUACACUGGGGCUGAUAAUUUUGCCUGGUAAGCACAACUGAAAAACGAAUAAACAAUCAUAAAAAAUACA